UGGAAGUCAGGUCGGAUUAAGCCAUAGUACGGAAAAAACUAUGCUACCUGUGAGCCCCGUCCAAGGACGUUAAAAGAAGUCAGGCCACUACAAGUGCCAUAGCUUGAGUAAACUAUGCAGCCUGUAGCUCCACCUGAGAAGGUGUAAAAAAUCUGGGAGGCCACAAACCAUGGAAGCUGUACGCAUGGCUUAGUGGACUAGCGGUUAGAGGAGACCCCUCCCUUACAAAUCGCAGCAACAAUGGGGGCCCAAGGUGAGAUGAAGCUGUAGUCUCACUGAAAGGACUAGAG
rnacentral:lncRNA from 1 species